rnacentral:tRNA from 1 species
GCCGGCGUAGCUCAGCAUGGCUAGAGCGGCGGGCCGCAGACCCGCAGGUCCCGGGUUCAAGUCCCGGCGCCGGCU